AGUGAACGCUGGCGGCGUGCCUAAUACAUGCAAGUCGAACGGAGUGGCGCACGGGUGAGUAAUGUAUAGCUAAUCUGCCCUACACUAGAGGACAACAGUUGGAAACGACUGCUAAUACUCUAUAGUGUAGGAUGAGGCUAUAUUGUAUCAGCUAGUUGGUGAGGUAAUGGCUCACCAAGCCUAUGACGCAUAACUGGUCUGUGAGGAUGAUCAGUAGCCCUGGAACUGAGACACGGGCCGGAAUCCUACGGGAGGCAGCGGUAGGGGAUAUUGCUCAAUGGGGGGAACCCUAGAGCGGCAGCGCCGCGUGGAGGAUGACACUUUUCGGGGCGUAAACUCAUUUUGUUAGGGAAGCGGUACCUAAAGAAUAAGCACCGGCUAACUCCGUGCCAGCAGCCGCGGUAAUAC
rnacentral:rRNA from 1 species